rnacentral:rRNA from 1 species
AGGCGGUCAGUUCCAGUCAAAGGUAAAUCCCGGAGUCCACUUCGGAACCGCCCUUUAAACCUCUUGAUUCUGGAGUUCAUAAGAGGUGUGUGAAUUCCAAGUCUAAAGGUUAAAUUCGGUAGAUAUUCGGAGGACCCACCAAAGGCGAAAGGCGCCACCUGGGCAUGAAUACUUACCUUUAAGGUGCAAAAGCGUGGAAAGCAACCAGAUUAGAAUCCCUUGGUAGUCCACCGCCGGUAACCGAUGAAUACCUAGCUGUCCGGGCUCAUAGAGCUUGGGUGGCGCCAGCUACCGCAUUAAGUUAUCCGCUUGGGAAGUACGGUCGCAAGAUUAAACCUCAAAGAAUUUGACGGGGGCCCGCACAACCGGUGAAGCAUGUGGUUUAUUUCAAAGCAACGCGCAGACCCUUACCAACCCUUGACAUCCUUGGACCGCCAGAGAGAUCUGGUUUUCUCGUAAGAGACCAAGUGACAGGUGCUGCAUGGCUGUCGUCAGCUCGUGUCGUGAGAUGUUCGGUUAAGUCCGGCAACGAGCGCAACCCACAUCCUUAGUUGCCAGCAGUUCGGCUGGGCACUCUAGGGAAACUGCCCGUGAUAAGCGGGAGGAAGGUGUGGAUGACGUCAAGUCCUCAUGGCCCUUACGGGUUGGGCUACACACGUGCUACAAUGGCAUCUACAGUGAGUUAAUCUCCAAAAGAUGUCUCAGUUCGGAUUGGGGUCUGCAACUCGACCCCAUGAAGUCGGAAUCGCUAGUAAUCGCGUAACAGCAUGACGCGGUGAAUACGUUCCCGGGCCUUGUACACACCGCCCGUCACACCAUGGGAGUUGGUUCUACCCGACGACGCUGCGCUAACCCUUCGGGGAGGCAGGCGGCCACGGUAGGAUCAGCGACUGGGGUGAAGUCGUAACAAGGAAUCC